CACUAGAAAGCUAAAAACCGUGUAAGCAUUGGCCUUUUAAGCCAAACCUUGGUGAUUAACGACCGCCUCUAGUGA
rnacentral:tRNA from 1 species